UUUGUACUUCCUCCGUCCCAAAAUUCUUGUCUUAGAUUUGUCUAAAUACAGAUGUAUCAAGUCCCAAAAUGCUUGUCUUAGAUUUGUUUAAAUACAGAUGUAUUAAGUCACAUUUUAGUAUUAGAUACAUCCAUAUUUAGACAAAUCUAGUACAAGAAUUUUAGAACGGAGGGAGUACUUU
rfam:Triticum aestivum genome assembly, contig: Triticum_aestivum_CS42_TGACv1_scaffold_579131_7BL